UUCUAUUAGUAUAACUAAUUACAAUUAGCUUCCAACUAAUAAAUCUUCUUGAUAGAAUAA
rnacentral:tRNA from 1 species